AUGACCACGGUGUGGUUCAUGACUGGGGUGAAGUCGUAACAAGGUAGCCCUAGGGGAACCUGGGGCUGGAUCACCUCCUUACGAAACAG
rnacentral:rRNA from 1 species